AAAGAUUAAGCCAUGCAUGUCUAUGCACACGCCCUUGAAUGGUGAAGCCGCGAAAAGCUCAUUACAACAGCUGUAGUUUAUUGGAUGUUUAUGUUCCUACAAGGACACCUGCGGUAAUUCUGGAGCUAAUACUUGCGAAAUACGACGACCUCACGGGAGUCGUGCAUUUGUUAGACUAAACCAAUCGGUCCUUCGGGACCGUCAUUUGGUGAACUCUGAAUAACUUAGCUGAUCGCACAGUCUCGUACUGGCGACGAAUCUUUCAAGUGUCUGCCUUAUCAACUUUCGAUGGUAGUUUAUACGACUACCAUGGUUGUAACGGGUAACGGAGAAUAAGGGUUCGACUCCGGAGAGGGAGCCUGAGAAACGGCUACCACAUCCAAGGAAGGCAGCAGGCGCGCAAAUUACCCACUCGCAGAACGCGGAGGUAGUGACGAAAAAUAACGAGGUGGCUCUCUACGAGGUCCAUCAUCGGAAUGGGUACAAUUUAAAUCCUUUAACGAGGAUCUAUUGGAGGGCAAGUCUGGUGCCAGCAGCCGCGGUAAUUCCAGCUCCAAUAGCGUAUACUAAAGUUGUUGCGGUUAAAAAGCUCGUAGUUGGAUCUGCGCCCGGUGAAAGCGGUCGCCCGAUGGGUUGUUACUGCUUCUCCCGGGCUAACCAUUCGGUUUUCCGUUGAUGCUCUUCAUUGAGUGUCCUCGGUGACCGGAACGUUUACUUUGAAAAAAUUAGAGUGCUCAAAGCAGGCGAUUCGCCCGAAUAUUCGUGCAUGGAAUAAUAAAAGAGGUCCUUGUAGCCUUUUGUUGGUUAUCGUUACGAGGAAAUGAUCGAAGGGGACAGACGGGGGCAUUUGUAUUGCGACGUUAGAGGUGAAAUUCUUGGAUCGUCGCAAGACAAACUACUGCGAAAGCAUUUGCCAAGAAUGUUUUCAUCAAUCAAGAACGAAAGUCUGAGGUUCGACAGCGAUCAGAUACCGCUUUAGUUCAGACCGUAAACGAUGCCAUCUGGCGAUCCACCGGCGUUAUGUAUGACUCGGUGGGCAGCCACCGGUAAACCUUUAAGUCAGGUUCCGGGGGAAGUAUGGUUGCAAAGCUGAAACUUAAAGGAAUUGACGGAAGGGCACCACCAGGAGUGGAGCCUGCGGCUUAAUUUGACU
rnacentral:rRNA from 2 species